ensembl:lncRNA
CAUUUUUUUUUCCCAAUUCUUCACGGUGUUCUCCUGGAAUCCACAGUGAGGCUCGCUGCCUCGGGCGAAGCUGGGGGCCACACGCACCUGCUCCGGAGGCUCCCCUGGUCUGCGCACCCGGCUCCUCCAGCUCAAGCGCAGGGCGGCGCCGCACUCCGCCCGCUGGCUCCUGGCAAAGCUGUGCGCGUGACUCGCGCUGUGCGCAGCGCCGCAGCCGGGAAGGUGGGCGCGCCCGCGGGCUUGGCGGGCCGAACCAACGCGCCUCGCGGAGGGGCCGCGCGAGGGCUGCCCAGAGCGGACCAUCGGCACCACGCCUGCAGGGGGCGCCGGGCGUUACCAACGCGCGGAGCCGAGGGGAGCGGAGGGGAGAGCCGGCGUGGGCUGCCGCGCGACCCCUGGAGGCGCCGGGAGGCGCGAGACAACGCUGCCCGCGCGGAGAGACGCGGCCGAGGCGAGAAGCAAGCUCUGGACAAGCCGAUUGGCUUGCUGCCGCCGUCUGGGAGGAGGGGGAGCAGAGAACACUGGGAUGUGGCUUCUCAGAGCCUGGGAUCCAGGAGGCACUGUCAAAGGAUUAGCAAGGUGUUGACCACACUGGGCAGUGGAGAAGCAGCUCAGGGGCCUUAUUUGAUCCGGCCACCUUACUCUCCUGCACGUUAGUACUUAAGAACUUUCUCCAAGCAAAGCAGGCCACACUGGGCUUCAGUACCCCCUGUUCCUGCCUUGGUGGUUUCUGGCCUCCUCACUUCUGCUUCCGGCAUUGGGAGACUUUAUCCUGAGGCCUCGUUGACUGCCGCACCCCUCCUCUGAAGAGCUCAGUCUGUCAAGGUAGGACUCGAGUCUCGCCUAGUCUCCUGAUGCCCUCCUUCAACCUGUGCUUGAAAGAAAGAGGACUUGCAGCGGGUUCUCAGUCUCCAGAGGCAUUGCUGGGACAUCAGAAGCUGGCACUCGAGAGUGAGGAAGGCAUGUCUGCCCACACAUUCAGGCUAGGAUGCUGAGGAGCCCGAAGGUGCCUGUUUACUGACCCUGCCUGGGAACCUUCCCUGGAGUCAGGAUUUGGAUUUGGUUUACUUUAUAAUUAUCCUGAAAGGGACCACAAAAGUGAGCAGGUGCUGGAAGCUGAGCUAAGGAAGGGUGACGGGCUGAUGGAGAAAGCCGUACACGCUGGCUAGAUCGGUAGAAAAGACGGAUUUUUCUAGGUAAAAUCCCUUCCCUGCAACAAGAGACUCUGGAGCAAAGCUAAGAUUAUUAUUGAGUUUUUAUGAAACAAAGAAAAUCGACUCUUGCUCAGCACCCAAUGUGGUUUGUUCUAUCCUGGGUGUAAUUGCCCAGGGCUGAAGUCUCCAUUCACUGAUUGGGACCUUGGGAGCUCUCGUCGAUGAGGAGACUAAGAGGCCUGAAACCAACCGGGUGUGAGGUCUGCCGUGGUUUCUGUUGGUGAUGGUUUAAAGCUGCCUGUACACUGUCGGUUCAUAUAGGAGCAGACAGACUUGGGGGAAGGAAGGUAUAGCCACACCAGGUUGUCCUGUUCGGCUACAGAGCCAGGCCUUUUGCCGAGUGUUUGACUUAUAGAGGUGGCAACAUACACGAGCCCAAAGCAGAACAACUUCUGUGCUUCGAAAGAGGACGCUAUAUUGGGGAGGUCUAAUGAGGAAGCAGC